rnacentral:rRNA from 1 species
AAACCGUUGAAAGGGAAGCGAAUGGAGUUAGCAAUUCGUCCGUCAGAUUCAGUUGCAUGCGCAUCGCGACGUGAACGUUCUCGAUCCACAUGGACGAGUCGUUCGCGGACGCGAUGCGUGAGCGGCGCACUUCUGGCGGGCGAGCGUCAGCGUCGGUUGUUGUCGAACGAUAAGGUUGCAAGGAAGGUAGAUGGACCCUCGCGGCCCGUUGUUAAGCCUUGCAUUCGCAUAGUUCGACGGCGAUCGUGGACUGCGACACGUGCCUGGCUGGCGACCCGUUCUCUCGGUCCGACAUGUCGAUCGUGGUGGACGGCACGCCUGUGCACCCAAACCGCUGUUGGUCGCGAGUUCGGCGUUCGUACACGACGUGUCAAGGAUGCUGACGAUCAUACGGCUCUAUCCGACCCGUCUUGAAACACGGACCAAGGAGUCUAACAUGUGCGCGAGUCUCCGGGUGAUCGAAACCCGUGGGCGCAAUGAAAGUAAAGACUGUCCCAGACGGUUGAGGUGAGAAGCCCCAAAAGGGCCGCAUCAUCGACCGACCUAUUCUGCUCUCAGAAAGGUUUGAGUAAGAGCGUAUCUGUUGGGACCCGAAAGAUGGUGAACUAUGCCUGAAUAGGGUGAAGCCAGCGGAAACACUGGUGGAAGCUCGUAGCGAUUCUGACGUGCAAAUCGAUCGUCGAAUUUGGGUAUAGCGGCGAAAGACUAAUCGAACCAUCUAGUAGCUGGUUCCCUCCGAAGUUUCCCUCAGGAUAGCUGGAGCUCUUUGUGCAGU